GUUCAGAUUAUUUUUCUUCUCAUUUCUGCACUUAUAUACACUUACAGUCACUAGCCACUUUAUUAGGUAGACCUUGCUGGGUUGAACACCCAUUUAGCUUCAGAAUCAGAACUGCCUUAAUUCUUCGUGGCACAGAGUCAGCAAGGUGCUGGAAACAUUCCUCAGAGAUUUUGGUCUAUACUGACAUGAUAGCAUCACGCAGUUGCUGCAGAUUUGUCGGCUGCACAUCCAUGAUGUGAAUCUCCAGUUCAGCCACAUCCCAAGCUGUUCUACUGGAUUGAGAUCUGGUGACCGUGGAGGUACAGUGAACUCAUUUUCAUGUUCACAGUUUGAUUUGAGAUUUGUGACAUGGCGUGUUAUACUGCUGGAAGUAGCCAUCAGAAGAUGGACACACUGUGUCAUAAAGAGAUGGACAUGGUAGCAACAAUACUCAGGUCAGCUGUUGUGUUUAAAUGAUGCUCAAUUGGUACUAAGGGGCCCAAAGUGUGCCAAGAAAAUAUUCCUCACACCAUAACACCACCAGCACCACCUGAACCGUUGAUACAGGGCAGGACGGAUCCAUGCUUUCAUAUUGUUUACGCCAAAUUCUGACCCUACCAUCUGAAUGUUGCAGCAGAAAUCGAGACUCAUCAGACCAAUGUUUUUCCAAUCUUCUGUUGUCCAGUUUUGGUGAGCCCGUGUGAAUUGUAGCCUCAGUUUCCUGUUGUUAGCUGACAGGAGCGUCACCGGUGUGUCUUCUGCUGCUGUAGCUCAUCUGCUUCAAGGUUCGACAUGUUGUUUGUUCAGAGAUGCUCUUCUGCAGACCUCGAUUGUAACGAUUUGAGUUACUGUUGCUUUUCUAUCAGCUGAACCAGUCUGGCCAUUUUCCUCUGACAUCAACAAUGCAUUUUCGCCCACAGAACUGACGCUCACUGGAUAUUUUCUCUUUUUCUGACCAUUCUCUGUAAACCCUAGAGAUAGCUGUGUGUGAAAAUCCCAGUAGAUCAGCAGUUUCUGAAACACUCAGACCAGCCCAUCGGGCACCAACAACCAUGUCACAUUCAAAGUCACUUAAAUCACCUUUCUUCCCCAUUCUGAUGCUCAGUUUAAACUUCAGCAGAUCAUCAUGACCAUGUCUAUAUGCCUAAAUGCAAUGAGUUGCUGCCAUGUGACUGGCCGAUUAGAUAUUUGCGUUAACAAGCAGUUGAACAGGUGUACCUAAUAAAGUGGCCAGCAAGAGUAUGUAUGAGAGUGUGCAUGUGUGUGUGUAUAUAUAUAUAUAUAUAUAUAUAUAUAAUUAUGCUGACAAGGUUUGAUAUAAAUGUUGCUCUCUCUUUACAGCAAAAUCACAGAUAACACGGAGACGGCAGAAAUUCCAGACUUUUGUGGGACUAAUGGGGAAACGGAAUGUAGUUGAACCAGGAUCUUUCUAGGAUGCUGUGACUUUGAGGAAGCUUUUAACGUGCAACCACUUUUGGCCCAAAUCAUCAGGCUGAAACUUCUUUUAAAAUAAAAAUAAAGGAAAACAAAUUAAUAACAAAUGAAUAAUUAGUUGAGACAUUGCAUUUGUUUUAUGAUACUGUAUACAGUA